rnacentral:tRNA from 2 species
GGAUGGGUGUCCGAGUGGUUAUGGAGCUGGCUUUAGGUGCGUUCAACGCAUUGCACGCCAGUGCGAAAGCUCGCGGGUUCGAGUCCCGUCCCAUUCA